GGGGCUGUAGCUCAGUUGGGAGAGCGCCUGCCUUGCAAGCAGGAGGUCAUCGGUUCGAUCCCGUUCAGCUCCAC
rnacentral:tRNA from 2 species